rnacentral:tRNA from 1 species
GCGCCCGUAGCUCAGCCGGACAGAGCGCCUGGCUUCGAACCAGGAGGUCGGGGGUUCGAUCCCCUCCGGGCGUACUA